rnacentral:rRNA from 1 species
CCUACGGGAGGCAGCAGUCGAGAAUCAUUCACAAUGGGGGAAACCCUGAUGGUGCGACGCCGCGUGGGGGAAUGAAGGUCUUCGGAUUGUAAACCCCUGUCAUGUGGGAGCAAAUUAAAAAGAUAGUACCACAAGAGGAAGAGACGGCUAACUCUGUGCCAGCAGCCGCGGUAAUACAGAGGUCUCAAGCGUUGUUCGGAAUCACUGGGCGUAAAGCGUGCGUAGGCUGUUUCGUAAGUCGUGUGUGAAAGGCGCGGGCUCAACCCGCGGACGGCACAUGAUACUGCGAGACUAGAGUAAUGGAGGGGGAACCGGAAUGCUCGGUGUAGAAGUGAAAUGCGGAGAUAUCGAGAGGAACACUCGUGGCGAAGGCGGGUUCCUGGACAUUAACUGACGCUGAGGCACGAAGGCCAGGGGAGCGAAAGGGAUUAGAUACCCUAGUAGUC